rnacentral:lncRNA from 1 species
CUUUUCAAAAAGGAGCUGUACUCCCUCUUGCUAUAUGUGACUUCUGCUCCUGUAUUUACUCGCCAUAGAGGCAGUAAGGUCUACUCUUGCUGUAGACCUUGUUGAGACACUAUAUGUUGCUGUAACUGUUGUCCCCAUGUAAGAGUAAUGCCUUCAUUUCUAGUUUUCUUUGGUGAACGUCUAUUUUAUGAAACAACUUAAUACUUUAAUGAAACAUAUUCUUUGGUACAUUAUUGUUUUAAGGGGUGUUUUUGAACAUUUACAACCUUUGCCUGAAAAUCCACAGAUUUUUUCUUGUUGGAUAGCAGGCACAAGCAGGCCUGACCCUUUAACUAUUUAUACAAGAUAAGUAGAAUCCCUUGAACCCAUUGUGACUUCUUGGUUGAUUUUUUUAAGGAUUCAUCCCUGUGACAAAUUCAUGUUGCAGAACACAUCUGGUAUGGCAGUUUGCUGCUGUACCACCACUGCUUACAACAGAUGUAGUCCGUUAUGCUGUGAAACUGUUUUACUCUGUUUCAUCAAAAACAGUUUGGGGACACAACAUUCUUAAUGAUUGAAUAAGAAGGAAAUAAUCAAUGAUUCUUCUGGCACAGGAGAAUGUGAGGACCAGCUGUUACCAACUUCAGUCUUCCUUACAGUCCCAGCCCUACGUAACCAACACAUAUUCACAAACUCAACCAACUGAUGUGGUCCAGGAUCAGGAUUUGUGCCUUGUCAGAGGGCCGACUUGUAAGAAGGUUUCUCAAACGUGGAAGCUGACCUAUUAUAUUUAAAAAUCCUCUGCCACAUCUGUUGCUAACUGGAUUCACUACAUAGACAGCUGUUAGUAUCUUGUGUUUAGUAGCCAGAGCUCACUGUUGUAUUCAGUCAGUGUUACCCGGAGCAGAGUACCAGCCUUUCACAGCUUGCUUUGAGGCAGAGGCAAAGCACUGACGAGGCUGCGUGCAGCAGGCCCUGUAGGACUUUGCUCCCCUUCUCAAUUUGUAGCUGAUGUGGCUGUGACUAGUACUGCUCACAAGGUGUGGGCUGAGAAGUGCCGAUCCAGUUAAUUACCAAAACUUUCCAUCUAUGGGCUGGGCUCGUUAUGAAGACCUUUACAGAAGGCAGUUAAGUCAGUAGGAAAACUGUGUUUAUUUCAAUACACGCUGUUAGAUCAGGCCUCAAGAAUGAAGCACAACUGGUGAUAUUCUGGUAUGACUUCUUCUGUCAGGAAGGUUUGCGUUACGCCUAGGAGGCUCUGCCGUGGAUAUUGGCCAGCAAAUGCUCCAGUUUCCUCCGAAGGAAACACGCACUUGUAUUUCAUCUACUCUCCACCAGGAGGCACAGUUUUCCUACCAAACCACUGAAAAAAUAAUAGAAAAAAAAAAUGCGUUAUUCCACUGUAUUCCGUCUGAUUUAAACCUUCAUCUUUACACUGGUGAGAACCCCAAAUAAAAAACGCUUAAAGAUACCA